rnacentral:misc_RNA from 1 species
UUUCCGUAGGUGAACCUGCGGAAGGAUCAUUAAAAAAUGGCACAACUUUAAAAUGUGCAUUAAUAAUCCUACCCUUUGUGAAUUUGUUUGUUUGAAAUAAUUUUUUUUUUUUAGAAAAAUUAUUGAAUGUCUUUCCCUGUUGAAUUGGAAUACGUUUUCGGACGUUGAAAAUUCACAGGGGGAUGAUAGUCAAUAAUUUUUUAUUUAAAAAAAGACCUUUUUUUUAAAAUAAACUUUUUGUAUUCAUUUGUCUAAAAUUAUUUUUAUAAUAUAAAAACCACUUUUGACAAUGGAUCUCUUGGUUCUCGCAACGAUGAAGAACGCAGCAAAUGCGAUAAGUAGUGUGAAUUGCAGAAUACGUGAAUCAUCGAAUCUUCGAACGCAUAUUGCACUUUUUUAGUUUACUAAAAAAGUAUGUCUGUUUGAGUAUCAGUAAAAUAUUCUCAUAAAAACUUUUUGUUUUUAUGGUUAUGAGUGUUUUACAACGAUACAAGUUGUUUCACUUUAAAUUUUUUUUUAAAAUUUGAAAAAUUUUCUAAUUUUAAAAUAAAAUUGGAUAAAAUUUUCCCGUAAAAAGGAAUAAGCCUAAACAAUUUUGAUUUAAUAUUAGGAAUUUUCAAAAAUAAAAGGAAAAUUUAUUUAAAAAUAACUUGAUCUCAAAUCAGAUAAGAGUACCCGCUGAACUUAAGCAUAUCAAUAAGCGGAGGAAAAGAAACUAACAAGGAUUCCCUUAGUAACGGCGAGUGAAGCGGGAAGAGCUCAAAUUUGAAAUCUUCAAGGUUUUACCUUGACGAAUUGUAGUUUAAAGAAGUGUUUUCUGUUGAGGUUUCGGUAAAAGUUCUUUGGAAUAGGACAUCAUAGAGGGUGAGAAUCCCGUAUUUGACCGUUAUUUUCAGCUGUGUGAUACACUUUCAAAGAGUCGGAUUGUUUGGGAAUGCAGUCCAAAAUGGGUGGUAAAUUUCAUCUAAAGCUAAAUAUUGGCGAGAGACCGAUAGCGAACAAGUACCGUGAGGGAAAGAUGAAAAGAACUUUGAAAAGAGAGUUAAACAGUACGUGAAAUUGUCAAAAGGGAAGCGUUUGACACCAGUGUUGUUUUCUCGAAAAUCAAUUAAAAAGAGUUUGAUUUUGUUGUGUAUUGACCUUAACAGCUUGCAUUUCAAUUUUCUUGCUUUUUUUAAUGCACUUUUCGUUUAAACGAGUCAACAUCAGUUUCUUUUGUUGUAAAAAGGUCAUUGGAAGGUGGCUUCCUUUUCGGAGAAAGUGUUUAUAGCCUUUGACUUCUGCAAUCGGAGAGACUGAGGUCUGCAGCGUAGAUCCUUCGGGGUUAGAUACAUUUGUGCUAAGUUAUAGCUUUUUAUAGACAACUUGUUGACUAUGAUUAGUCUUGUAGCUUACUCGCUUAUGCUAUUUACCUACGCUUAGGAUGUUG